GAUGAACGCUCGCUACAGGCUUAACACAUGCAAGUCGAGGGGAAACGACAUCGAAAGCUUGCUUUUGAUGGGCGUCGACCGGCGCACGGGGGAGUAACGCGUAUCCAACCUGCCCAUCACUUGGGAAUAACCUUGCGAAAGUAAGACUAAUACCCAAUGACAUCCCACGAAGACAUCUGAAUGGGAUGAAAGAUUUAUCGGUGAUGGAUGGGGAUGCGUCUGAUUAGCUUGUUGGCGGGGUAACGGCCAACCAAGGCAACGAUCAGUAGGGGUUCUGAGAGGAAGGUCCCCCACAUUGGAACUGCGACACGGUCCAAGCGCCUACGGGCGGCAGCAGUGAGGAAGAGUGGUCAAUGGGCGGGAGCCUGAACCAGCCAAGUAGCGUGCAGGAGGACGGCCCUAGGGGUUGUAAACUGCUUUUAGAAGGGAAUAAAGUGGGUCUCGUGAGACUUUUUGCAUGUACCUUAUGAAUAAGGACCGGCUAAUUCCGUG
rnacentral:rRNA from 1 species